rnacentral:rRNA from 1 species
CGGGUGAGUAACACGUGAGCAACCUACCUUGCACAGGGGGAUAGCCGUUGGAAACGACGAUUAAUACCGCAUGAGACCACAAUACUGCAUGGUAUAGGGGUCAAAGAUUUAUCGGUGUAAGAUGGGCUCGCGUCUGAUUAGCUAGUUGGAAGGGUAAAGGCCUACCAAGGCGACGAUCAGUAGCCGGUCUGAGAGGAUGAACGGCCACACUGGAACUGAGACACGGUCCAG